rnacentral:rRNA from 1 species
UAGGGAAUCUUCGGCAAUGGACGAAAGUCUGACCGAGCAACGCCGCGUGAGUGAAGAAGGUUUUCGGAUCGUAAAACUCUGUUGUUAGAGAAGAACAAGGACGUUAGUAACUGAACGUCCCCUGACGGUAUCUAACCAGAAAGCCACGGCUAACUACGUGCCAGCAGCCGCGGUAAUACGUAGGUGGCAAGCGUUGUCCGGAUCUAUUGGGCGUAAAGCGAGCGCAGGCGGUUUCUUAAGUCUGAUGUGAAAGCCCCCGGCUCAACCGGGGGGGGUCAUUGGAAACGGGGAGGCUGGAGUGCAGAAGAGGAGAGUGGAAUUCCAUGUGGAGCGGUGAAAUGCGUAGAUAUAAGGAGGAACACCGGUGGCGAAGGCGGCUCGCUGGUCUGUAACUGACGCUGAGGCUCGAAAGCGUGGGGAGCAAACAGG